GGCACUCACAACGUCAAGAUCACGGCUACAGUUCCCAAUUAAAUGCACUUUCUUUUGAUUAAAUAUGUCUGCCAAAUGCAUGUGUAAAUAGGCUACCAUUAGUGGGUCGUUGAGAAACUGACAUGACAUAAAACACAUCCAGUUUUUAUUUUGGGUCUUGCGAAUGCAUUUAAACUGAUCCACAAUGCAACGUGAGAGCUAAACCAACCUCACUAGAUGGAAGUUUCAAGAAAUUGACUCAUAAAAUAAACUUCCAGAAAUGCAGAAAAGCCUUGUAGCCUUCAGAAUCACUUGUGUGUUGUCGGCCAAAAAUAUUCCUCCCACUUACACGAGGCUCAAUAAUAGUGCAAAUCUCUUUAACAUCUAUUUGGGAUAUUCAAAGAGGUGUUUGCCCGAUGAAAUUUCGCUUGUUUGAAUUCGUGCGUGCGCGCGCGUGUGCGUUUGCGCGAGAAAGAAACUGAGGGAGAGAAAUAAUGAAGCCUGUCUUCGCAUCAUGAGGCCUUUCCCAUGCCGCAUUACUCUAGUGCCAUCAGACGGCGAGGGAGGCCAUCAGCAGCGUUGCGUCUGUACGACUCUGCUAAUUAUUCUCCUGCCUUUAUUAGACUACAGCCAUCAGAGAGAGAAGGGGAAAGACAUCAUCUCCAGCCUAAUUCUCUCCCUCGCUCUAUCUAUCUAUUUCCCGUCAGACUCUGGUCUGAAUGAGGCGCUCGCUUUUAUCACCAGAUUACUUCACAGGGUGACUCCAAGCCAUUAAAUUCUUAUCUGUGUCAGAGCUGAAAUAUGAUGUUUACGGGCCUGUCUGGCUAUUAGUGUUAGAAUUGAGAUCUCAUAUCCACGACAGGCUCAGUAGACACUGCAGAAUUGAUUAGGUGAGCAUGUCGCUUGAUUUGAACGUGAAAGCUGUAUUACACGCCAAAUGAUGCACACCUGACAUUAAGACGAACAUUAAGGCUAAUUAUUAGAGUCUGUGUGUCUGUGCGCAAAUAUCUAUGAAGCAAUAUCUCCGCCUGACAACAUUUUGUCAAAGAAAAGCUCAUUAAACACUAAAUUAGAC
ensembl:lncRNA